rnacentral:tRNA from 1 species
ACAUUGGUGGUUCAAAGGUAGACUUCUCACCUUACAUGAGGGAAAUUGGGUUAGAUUCCCAGCUAGUGUA